rnacentral:misc_RNA from 1 species
GUAGCAUUUAGUUAGGUUUCAUCUUAGUGUUUAUUUGUAAGUAAUUUUAGUUGGUCUACCAUGCUGAUUUAAAAAUUUGUGAAAGUGUGUAUUUCAUUAGUUAGAAGAAAUUAAAGGAUAUUCGAAACGAAAAGGGGUUGUUGACUGAUUGUUAACAUUUAUCACAAUAUAAAGAGAAAUUAAAUAAAAUUUAAAAGAGAAUGCUGUUUUUGGGAUUUUAUCCUAGAAACCAAGAUGUCAAAAAAAUGUCACAAGUGGCAAACUUCAUGUUUUCCACUUUGGCCUGUAUUUAUUUAGUUUAAG